GGGGGAAAAACUGACUAUCAGAAAUAAAAGAUACAAAUGAACAGAAAAGCUUGAAAGCUAACAAAGAUUUUGUGAUGAUCCUCAGUCCAGCUUUCAUGAAAUACGUUCAUUUGAAUUGGCUCAAGAAGAAGGGCCAAUAUCCAUCCACUGGGAUUAUGACUGUGAUUCUCAGCAUCUUCAUGUGCGAUAAG